AGUAACAGAAAAUACUACCUUACAGUUGGAGACUUUACCAGUGUACGCUCACUGAAAACCAUGGAUGAUUGCAAAGAGGUUGUGUCUAGUGAUUUCGGAUGGAGCCCAGAGUUCAUUCAGGAGCUUCUUCCAUCUGCAGAGCGAACAGCUCUUCUCUAUCAUCUGUCUUACCUGUGUCUGGGAAGUUUCCCAAAGCUGGAGCGUCUGAUCAGAGAACGAGCUGUGGAAACACAGCUGCUGUUUGGAUCAUCUGAAGCCGUUUUGAUGAAGUGUGUUGGCACGAGCCACAACCUGGUCUUCGACCUGUUCCCAAUGCUGAUGAAGGCUAUUGAAAAGAAUAAACCCAAUCUGGCUGUGAAAUACCUGGAGAAAGCCAGAGCCUGGAUUGAUGACAUCAUCCGAGCUGUGGAUGACAUGGUGAAGAGGUAUGAACAACAAAACCGAAGUGUGGCAACAUGCACAAGUGAUGUAGUUCAAGAGAAAAAAGAGACAGAAAAACAACUAGCUCAGCACUCUGAGGAGAUGAAGAGUCUGGAAGAGGCUGUAACCAAGCUUGUAGAGGAGCUGAGUAAAAACACCAAAAAUGUAGAGGAAAUGGAGAAAAAAAUUGAAGGAAAGAACUCUGAGAUGCAGGAUCAUAUUAAAUCAGUUUCUAAAACAAGUCAUGGUAUGGGAAUCCUGGCUGCCUUGGUGCCAUUUGUUGGACCCCUUAUUAAAUCCAUUUAUGAUACCGCAACUGCCCCUGGUGUUGCUGCUAAAACUCAAGCUCUCAGUGCCGAACUGACCCAUCUCAACUCUGAAAAGAGUAAUCUGCAAAACAAAGAGUGGACGAUCCAAGUCAAACUGAUGGAUCUUCAGCUGCAGCUGGCCAAUUCAAGAAUACAGCUGGGUGUGAUUCCCAGUCCUGAUCAUCUGAAGGACGUCCAGCAGUGUCUUUCUCGAAUCCAGCAGAUUCUGCUUCAGCUUAAAAUGUUCUGGGAGAAGGUGGGAGCUCUGCUGGACACUCUGAAAAAGAAGACCUUUGUUAAUGAGGAUCUCAUUGAGGAACUGGAUGAUAUUGACAUGAAGGCUGAUUUUCUGAAGUCUAUUAAAAUAGCAGGAGAGUACUGGAAUACCUUCGGUGGAUGCUGUCGAAGUGCCCAAGGUGUUUUCAGCAUUCAGUCUAAGGAUGCGUAUAAGUUCCUGGAGAUCAAUCCAUCUUCACUCUCAGAGGAUGAACGGAAGGAGCAGUACGAGUCUGUCAUGGAGAAGCUGAAGCAGAUCAGCCCGCAGUAUUCAUCCACAGCCGCCAUCACUGAGUGAAACACAGAGAUCUGACGCUUCCUCUCACACAUUUAAACGCUCCUUAUAACGCACGCACAUAUUUAUGCAUACAGCUUCUCUUGUCAUUUUUGUAAUGCGUUCUAAUCUUUGCAACUCCUUAGACAAGAUUAUUUACAAUUCCACAUAAAUAUUCUUGAGUGUUGGUGUUAUGGGGAUUAUUAUUUCUAUUUCUCAGCUGUGCUGUAUCUCUGGUAAAAAUUGCUUUGCAUUUCAUUAUGGUGUAUCAUGUUAGAUCUUGUGGUCUGGCCACAUAACUAAUGUCAGUGUCACACAAUAAAGACAGAAGACGCUUCA
ensembl:lncRNA